GAUUACGGUCAUACCACCCUGAACAUGUUUCAUUUCGUCUGAUCUCAGAAGCUGAGUAGGGUUAGGCCUGGUUAGUACUUGGUCGAGAAAAAGCCCAGAAACAGACCC
rnacentral:rRNA from 1 species